UUGAAUUUCGGAGGGGUGUUGUGUUGGAGAAUAGAACUCACUUGCUCAGUUAGGAAGAUCUUUUUAGGCACAUGUGUCCUAGAUUUUCGCUUUUGGGUACAAAGAUCUUUGAGAAAUUUGGCAUAGGAGGGAACUUGUCGAAUAGCAUCAAGAAGCGGAAGGUUAAUUUUUACUUGUUUGAAAAUUUCCAUCAUCUCCUCUAGUGAAGUUCCUUUCUUGCCAAAGGGAGUGGGUGCAUUAAGUGCUUCAGGAAAUGGGGCCUUUGGAAUGUGAGUUUUGGCAGAAGGU
rnacentral:lncRNA from 1 species